rnacentral:rRNA from 1 species
CCUACGGGAGGCAGCAGUGGGGAAUAUUGGGCAAUGGGCGCAAGCCUGACCCAGCAACGCCGCGUGAAGGAAGAAGGCUUUCGGGUUGUAAACUUCUAUUGUCAGGGACGAAGCAAGUGACGGUACCUGACGAAUAAGCCACGGCUAACUACGUGCCAGCAGCCGCGGUAAUACGUAGGUGGCAAGCGUUAUCCGGAUUUACUGGGUGUAAAGGGCGCGCAGGCGGGGAGGCAAGUCAGAUGUGAAACCCCCGGGCUCAAC